UAAUGGAACAAAAUAUUUUGCCAAGAACAGCAGCACACAAUACCUGGCAAGACACAAAAUAUGUAUUUGCAUGGCUGGGAGAAAGGCUUGGAAACUCGCAUAGCAACCUAAGCCAUUAUAGAGACAGGCACAUGAUCUCCUCUGAGGAGCUGGGUCUGAGCCACAGGAGGAAUAGAGCACAGUUUGUGCAUUUCCAGGGAGAAAUUCAAUGCCUUUUUCAAAGACUCUGAUCAAACAGCUGCUGUGUGGAUGGGCCUGGUUUUGUCUUUGUUCUGUAAGAAGGGAAAGCAAACACAAGAAGCCUUGCCUGGGAGGUAACACCAGAGAGUGGGAAAUCUUUGAUGGUGUGUCUCCCUCUCCGCUGUAGUCAGUCUGGGAGCCCAUGUGCUUCCCUGCAUCCCUUUUGCCACCAUCCUCAGCACCCCCUUUGCCUGGACUAUGACAGCAGCUCCUCAUUUGUCUCCCAUUUCCGCUCUUGCCAUCCUCUACCCCCACGCAGCUUCCUACAUAGGAGUCAGAGCGAUAUUUUCAGAACACAAAUCUGUAUGCGUAACUCUUCUAGUUAAACCCAUCAAAGCUUCUCACUGC